GACGAACGCUGGCGGCGUGCCUAAUACAUGCAAGUAGAACGCUGAAGGAGGAGCUUGCUUCUCUGGAUGAGUUGCGAACGGGUGAGUAACGCGUAGGUAACCUGCCUGGUAGCGGGGGAUAACUAUUGGAAACGAUAGCUAAUACCGCAUAAGAGUAGAUGCUGCAUGACAUUUGCUUAAAAGGUGCAAUUGCAUCACUACCAGUUGGACCUGCGUUGUAUUAGCUAGUUGUUGGGGUAACGGCUCACCAAGGCGACGAUACAUAGCCGACCGGAGAGGGGGGUCGGCCACACUGGGACGGAGACACGGCCCAGAGGCCUACGGGAGGCAGCAGUAGGGCAUCUUCGGCAAUGGGCGGAAGUCUGACCGAGCAACGCCGCGGGCGUGAAGAAGGUUUUCGGGUCGUAAAGCUCUGUUGUCAGGGAAGAACGCGUGUGCGCGUGGAAAGUUCAGACUGUGACGGUAUCUGACCAGAAAGGGACGGCUAACUACGUG
rnacentral:rRNA from 1 species